GUCAUAUGCUUGUCUCAAAGAUUAAGCCAUGCAUGUCUCAGUACAAGCCAAAUUAAGGUGAAACCGCGAAAGGCUCAUUAAAUCAGUUAUGGUUCCUUAGAUCGUACCCACAAUUACUUGGAUAACUGUGGUAAUUCUAGAGCUAAUACAUGCAAACAGAGCUCCGACCGGAGACGGAAGGAGUGCUUUUAUUAGAUCAAAACCAAUCGGUGGCGAGUUCGCUCGUUAUCGUACAACUUGGUGACUCUGAAUAACUUUACGCUGAUCGCACGGUCAUCGCACCGGCGACGCAUCUUUCAAAUGUCUGCCUUAUCAACUGUCGAUGGUAGGUUCUGCGCCUACCAUGGUUGUAACGGGUAACGGGGAAUCAGGGUUCGAUUCCGGAGAGGGAGCCUGAGAAACGGCUACCACAUCCAAGGAAGGCAGCAGGCGCGCAAAUUACCCACUCCCGGCACGGGGAGGUAGUGACGAAAAAUAACGAUACGGGACUCAUCCGAGGCCCCGUAAUCGGAAUGAGUACACUCUAAACCCUUUAACGAGGAUCAAUUGGAGGGCAAGUCUGGUGCCAGCAGCCGCGGUAAUUCCAGCUCCAAUAGCGUAUAUUAAAGUUGUUGCGGUUAAAAAGCUCGUAGUCGAAUUUGUGUCUCGCGCCGCCGGUUCAUCGUCCGCGGUGUUAACUGGCGAGUCGCGAGACGUCCUGCCGGUGGGCUUAGCCCGCGAGGGCGGCCCAACUCAAUCCUGCCGCGGUGCUCUUCAUUGAGUGUCGAGGUGGGCCGGCACGUUUACUUUGAACAAAUUAGAGUGCUUAAAGCAGGCUAAAACUUCGCCUGAAUACUGUGUGCAUGGAAUAAUGGAAUAGGACCUCGGUUCUAUUUUGUUGGUUUUCGGAACCCCGAGGUAAUGAUUAAUAGGAACGGAUGGGGGCAUUCGUAUUGCGACGUUAGAGGUGAAAUUCUUGGAUCGUCGC
rnacentral:rRNA from 1 species